GGAUCACCAUUUCAGACUGUUCCAAUUCUUGAUGAUGUUAGAGCCAUUCACAUAGGAGAUCGGGAGCAGAGUCAUGAGCUUACUACUGCACAUCUAUUUCCCUACACUCCUAUGCCUCCACUCUUGCACCUGAGGAUGCAGUUGCUCAUUCCGCUGUUACUGGUGAGAUGAAUCAUGAAUCAACACAGGUUUUCUCUAAACUUGAAAUCCCAC
rnacentral:lncRNA from 1 species